AUACGGAGGGUGCAAGCGUUAAUCGGAAUUACUGGGCGUAAAGCGCGCGUAGGCGGUUUGAUAAGUCGGAUGUGAAAUCCCCGGGCUCAACAUGGGAAUUGCAUUCGAUACUGUCAGGCUAGAGUGUGGUAGAGGGAAGUGGAAUUUCCGGUGUAGCGGUGAAAUGCGUAGAUAUCGGAAGGAACACCAGUGGCGAAGGCGGCUUCCUGGACCAACACUGACGCUGAGGUGCGAAAGCGUGGCGAGCAAACAGGAUUAGAUACCCUAGUAGUCC
rnacentral:rRNA from 1 species